ACUUGCAUCGAAAUCGAUUUGCGAUGAAAGAUUCAGCUUUUCUAGUUUUGUCUCGAUAACUGAAAGAUGUUAACACCUAUUAUAUUUAAACAUGGAUAUUACAUUUAAACUUGCAUAUACUAAUUAUUGAUUUCGUCCAAGAAGAUUAUAAUUUCCGAAAUUCUUGAUAUUGAGAAUAAACACAUAUUAUUGUGGAUGUCUGAUAGGUGAUGAAUGUUGACAUUCACCUGUGAACAUUUACAUAGUCGAUUUGGGAAAUACCUAAAAUAUUUUUUAUCAAAAAUAUUCAAUAAGCGUUGAGUAAAAAAAAAAUAUAUCAGGGAAAUGAACGUAGGAAGUACCAGACAAUGGCCAUAACCCAUAAAGUCAUUCGUGUAAGGAAAGCCGGGGAUCAGGAAAUGGCCUUUAACCGUAAAAAACAUCAGUGUGGCGAAUACAGGGCAAACGUAUUCCGGGUAACGGUUCAUAUAUUUCUAUUGGGAAAAUCUUGGCCUGAACUCUGGAAAAGUUGGCAGCUUUGCAAUAUAACUCUUACCUUCCGGUUUUGGAGCUGAUUCUUUUUCAUCAUUUGUAUUUGAUUGGGCAACUUGUGAUGAAACUUGAAUGGCGGGCAUUGCGUCUGGAUUACUUGGAGACAUUGUAUACUGCAUUGGUCCAUCAUAGCCUAUUUCCAAAAAGAACUACUCCUUGAUUGUUUUUGUUGACACUGUAUCCUGACAUAAGAGGCUUUGCUUCUUCCCCCCUCCAUGCUCUUGCUGUCUGAGGUCUGGAAUCAGAGGCAUGUACCAUGCCUGGAAUUUGCCUCUUCUGCUUUUGUUUCUGCUCCACAAGCUGCCUCUGUCAAGAGAAUAUUAUGUUAGACAUUGAAAGUAUGUAAUGUAUCAGGCUAUAGAGUUAUUUUUCUUUUCAGAUUACAGAGGAAUGUAAAUGUGAAAUAAUUAUACUAAAAGUUCAAUCAACUCUUUGAUCCCUUACCAGUGUUGCCCAAAUCCAGUUCGGGCAACUAUUAUUUGUGACUCCCCAACUGACUUUGGGCAGGAGAAAUAUUAAAGUCUCUAUUUUGUUCUUUACUUUAGGAUAC